AAGGGUGAAAUUGAAUUGUUUUUUUUAAAGAUUUUAUUUUAAUUGAAGCUAAGAAUUUUUAGAGUUAAACUAGGAUUAGAUACCCUAUUAUACUAAAAAGUAGAUAUAAGCCUAAUUAUUUAUAGUUAUGUUCUUAAAAUUUAAAGAAUUUGGCGGUGAUUUAGUCUUGUCAGAGGAAUCUGUUUUUUAAUCGAUACACCACGAAAAAUCUUGCUCGAGCUUAUAUACCGUCAUUAUCAGAUAAUUUUUAAAGAAUAAAUUAUUGCAGUUUAUAGAUAUAAAUAAAAUUAGAUCAAGGUGUAGCUUAUAAAUGAGUUAAAAUGGAUUACAAUAAAAUUUAUUUAAAUGGAAUAAUUUUUAUGAAGGUGGAUUUGAUUGUAUAUAGGUUUAAUAAGCUUAUAAGAUAAAAGCUCUAGAUCAUGUACAUAUCGCCCGUCGCUUUC
rnacentral:rRNA from 1 species